UACGUAGGGAGCAAGCGUUGUCCGGAAUCAUUGGGCGUAAAGCGCGCGUAGGUGGCCCCAUAAGUCCGCUGUGAAAGUCAAAGGCUCAACCUUUGAAAGCCGGUGGAUACUGUGGGACUAGAGUACGGAAGAGGCGAGUGGAAUUCCUGGUGUAGCGGUGGAAUGCGCAGAUAUCAGGAGGAACACCAAUAGCGAAGGCAGCUCGCUGGGACGUUACUGACACUGAGGCACGAAAGCGUGGGGAGCGAACAGG
rnacentral:rRNA from 1 species